UACGAAGGGGGCUAGCGUUGCUCGGAUUGACUGGGCGUAAAGAGCUCGUAGGCGGUUUGUUGCGUCGGCUGUGAAAUCCCGAGGCUCAACCUCGGGUCUGCAGUCGAUACGAGCAAACUAGAGUGUUGCAGGGGAGACUGGAAUUCCUGGUGUAGCGGUGAAAUGCGCAGAUAUCAGGAGGAACACCGGUGGCGAAGGCGGGUCUCUGGGCAACAACUGACGCUGAGGAGCGAAAGCGUGGGGAGCGAACAGG
rnacentral:rRNA from 1 species